GACGCAGCAACGCCGCGUGAGCGAUGAAGGUCUUCGGAUCGUAAAGCUCUGUUGAGUGCGAAGAAACGUCUCGGGGUUAAUAUCUCCGAGGCCUGACGGUACCACUCGAUGAAGCUCCGGGCAACUACGUGCCAGCAGCCGCGGUAAUACGUAGGGAGCGAGCGUUGUUCGGAAUCACUGGGCGUACCGGGAGUGCAGGCGGAAAGGUACGUCAGAAGUAGUAAAUCUACGGGCUUAAACCCGUAUCUCGCUUUUGAUACUGCUUUUCUUGAGUAGUGGAGAGGGACACGGAAUUCCAGGUGUAGCGGUGGAAUGCGUAGAUAUCUGGAAGAACACCAGUAGCGAAGGCGGUUUCCUGGCCACAUACUGACGCUGAGGCUCGAAAGCGUGGGGAGCAAACAGGAUUAGAUACCCUGGUAGUCCACGCCGUAAACGAUGGGCACUAGAUAUCGGGGAAUUCGAUUUCUUCGGUGUCGCAGUUAACGCGAUAAGUGCCACGCCUGGGGAGUACGCCCGCAAGGGUGUAACUCAAAGGAAUUGACGGGGGCCCGCACAAGCGGUGGAGCAUGCGCUUUAAUUCGAUGCUACGCGAAGAACCUUACCUGGGUUUGACAUGGGAGUGAAAGUUCCUAGAGAUAGGAACCUUUCCGUCGGGAACACUCCACACAGGUGCUGCAUGGUUGUCGUCAGCUCGUAUCAGUGAGAUGUUGGGUUAAGUCCCGCAACGAGCGCAACCCUCGCCCUUAGUCGCCAUCAGGUAAUGCUGGGAACUCUAGGGGGACCGCCUGGAACAAUCAGGAGGAAGUUGGGGAUGAUGUCAAAUCAUCAUGGC
rnacentral:rRNA from 1 species